rnacentral:rRNA from 1 species
GACGAACGCCGGCGGCGUGCUUAACACAUGCAAGUCGAGCGGUAAGGCCCUUUCGGGGGUACGACGAGCGGCGAACGGGUGAGUAACACGUGGGUGACCUGCCCUCAGCUCUGGGAUAAGCCUGGGAAACCGGGUCUAAUACUGGAUAUGACUCCAUGACGCAUGUUGUGGGGUGGAAAGCCUUGUGCGGCUGAGGAUGGGCCCGCGGCCUAUCAGCUUGUUGGUGGGGUGAUGGCCUACCAAGGCGACGACGGGUAGCCGGCCUGAGAGGGCGACCGGCCACACUGGGACUGAGACACGGCCCAGACUCCUACGGGAGGCAGCAGUGGGGAAUCUUGCGCAAUGGGCGAAAGCCUGACGCAGCGACGCCGCGUGAGGGAUGACGGCCU